ACUCUCAAAUUCUCUUUAUCACUCAAGAACAUUCCUCUACCUUCAUUCCUUCAUCCAAGGUGUUAGAGCCCACAGAUCUAAUUCCUUGGAGUCCUAGAGCAUAACUGGAAAGCUCUUGCGCUGGUGUCUUUGUUCUUUGAGAGAGUCAAGAUUUUGGUUGAUUGCAAAGGAGAGAAAAACAUGAAGAAAGGGGGAUCUUUAAGGCUUUUUUCGAAAGCUGGACCACGACGUUCCAGAGAUUGACAGGAAUGGAGGGGUCGUGCUCCCGCACAUACCGGGCAUAAGGCGUAAUGAAACUCUUCCCUACGCUUCGAGAAAGGACUUCAGCUCCAUAGUGCUGCCCUUGUCACGAUCUUAUAAAUAGAAUCUAUUUUUAUUUAUGGAUUUUUAUGGUGGGAAGCAUGGAGGCCGACGAGUUCUUUAAUUGUUCUCCUUUCUCUUCGUAUUUCUAUCAUCUUUAGCUUAGAUUUUUAAUUCUUUUGGGUUGUAAUUCAUGGAUUGGAGCUCCUAUUUUCCUCUCAUCUCUGAGUGUUGAGGUAAAGUAAUUUCUAAAUUUUGGAACAAGAACCUACGUAAUUUUCUUUAGAUUUCUUCUAGAAAGAUCUUAAUAUAAUUUGAUUUUGUGCUUUCUUU